rnacentral:tRNA from 1 species
UCGAUCUGUAGCUUAGUUGGUCAGAGCGCUGCACCGAAAACGCAGGGCUGCACGUUCGAUUCCUGCCAGGGAC